AUUGAACGCUGGCGGCAUGCCUUACACAUGCAAGUCGAACGGCAGCACGGGUGCUUGCACCUGGUGGCGAGUGGCGAACGGGUGAGUAAUACAUCGGAACAUGUCCUGUAGUGGGGGAUAGCCCGGCGAAAGCCGGAUUAAUACCGCAUACGAUCUACGGAUGAAAGCGGGGGACCUUCGGGCCUCGCGCUAUAGGGUUGGCCGAUGGCUGCUUAGCUAGUUGGUGGGGUAAAGGCCUACCAAGGCUACGAUCAGUAGCUGGUAUGAGAGGGCGACCAGCCACACUGGGAGUGAGACACGGCCCAGACUCCGACGGGAGGCAGCAGUGGGGAAUUUUGGACGAUGGGGGAAAGCCUGAUCCAGCAAUGCCGCGUGUGUGAAGAAGGCGUUCGGGUUGUAGAGCACUUUUGUCCGGAAAGAAAUCCUUGGCCCUAAUACGGUCGGGGGAUGACGGUACCGGAAGAAUAAGCACCGGCUAACUACGUG
rnacentral:rRNA from 1 species